rnacentral:rRNA from 1 species
AAGGUGGCUUUUGGGCUGUCGCAGAUGGAUGAGCCUGCGUUGGAUUAGCUAGUUGGUGAGGUAAGGGCCUACCAAGGCUACGAUCCAUAGCUGAUUUGAGAGGAUGAUCAGCCACAUUGGGACUGAGACACGGCCCAAACUCCUACGGGAGGCAGCAGUGAGGAAUAUUGGACAAUGGGGGCAACCCUGAUCCAGCAAUGCCAUGUGUGUGAAGAAGGCCUUAGGGUUGUAAAGCACUUUAGUUGGGGAAGAAAGCUUUGAGGUUAAUAGCCUUGAGGAAAAGGACGUUACCCAAAGAAUAAGCACCGGCUAACUCCGUGCCAGCAGCCGCGGUAAUACGGGGGGUGCAAGCGUUAAUCGGAAUUACUGGGCGUAAAGGGUCUGUAGGUGGUUUGUUAAGUCAGAUGUGAAAGCCUAGGGCUCAACCUUGGAACUGCAUUUGAUACUGGUAAACUAGAGUACGGUAGAGGAAUGGGGAAUUUCUGGUGUAGCGGUGAAAUGCGUAGAGAUCAGAAGGAACACCAAUGGCGAAGGCAACAUUCUGGACCGAUACUGACACUGAGGGACGAAAGCGUGGGGAUCAAACAGGAUUAGAUACCCUGGUAGUCCACGCUGUAAACGAUGAGUACUAGCUGUUGGAGUCGGUGUAAAGGCUCUAGUGGCGCAGCUAACGCGAUAAGUACUCCGCCUGGGGACUACGGCCGCAAGGCUAAAACUCAAAGGAAUUGACGGGGACCCGCACAAGCGGUGGAGCAUGUGGUUUAAUUCGAUGCAACGCGAAGAACCUUACCUGGUCUUGACAUCCUGCGAUCUUUCUAGAGAUAGAUUGGUGCCUUCGGGAACGCAGUGACAGGUGCUGCACGGCUGUCGUCAGCUCGUGUUGUGAAAUGUUUGGGUUAAGUCCCGCAACGAGCGCAACCCCUAU